rnacentral:SRP_RNA from 1 species
CUGUGCUAGAUGGGGAGUUAGCGGUUCCUUGUACCCGAAAUCCGCUAUACGCGGGGUUGAAUUCCAAUUUGAGGAGCUUGCUGAAUUUAGUGUUUUAUAAAAGCGAUGUUGAUGUUUUCAGCUUUACGCAAUAAAUAAUGUUUGAAUCCCGCCAGAUCUGGAAAGAAGCAACGGUAGAAUUUUAUUUAUGUGCCGUAAAAACCUGAUGCUGAGUUGGCUCUAUGAAAUAUUUUAUGAACAGAAGUUUCAAUAUGCGGUGCACAG